UUUCCUGCUCAGUAUAAUUAUUUCAAAAGUAGAUAAGAAGUAUAUGAUACACGUGUACGAUAAUUAUUAGAAACUGCAUAUUAGCUGCCUUAGCACAGAUGUUCCUCAUGGUGGCAUUUACUUUUGUUAUUCCUUCCAGGUAGAAAAUUUAUUGCCUGUUGAUGUUAAUCUCUGACUCUUUUCCGUCUCUUCCAUGUUGGCUCCAGAAAUCAGGAUGUAAACCUUAGUUGAAGGUGCCUAAAAUUCCAGUCAGCAGGAGACAAGGCUCUCAGCACCUUGCAGGAUCCAGCUCACAGAGGCUACUUUUGGAGAAGCUUGUCUGCCUAUGUAUUCAACUGGCUGGAUGAUCUCUCAUCAGAUGGCUCCAUAUGUUAUUGCACAACCCAGAUAUUUCUGCUGUCAACUGCAGGUAGUGGAUGAAGUUGUAUUCCUCUUGCCUGCCUGGAGCAUCUCUGAAUCAAAUCCCAGCUGUUGCCUUUCCUGUGAGUAUGUGGCUAUUUCUUUUUACUUUGUCCUGCACCAGUGAAAUUUGGCACCCACAGGUGGUAUGACCAAUAAAGUUUAUCUAGAUAAGGUUCA
rnacentral:lncRNA from 1 species